CCAGUUCGGACUGGAGUCUGCAACCCGACUCCACGAAGUUGGAUUCGCUAGUAAUCGCGCAUCAGCCAUGGCGCGGUGAAUACGUUCCCGGGCCUUGUACACACCGCCCGUCAAGCCAUGGGAGCCGGGGGCGCCCGAAGCCACUUAGCUAACCCUUUUGGGAAGCGAGUGUCGAAGGUGAAAUCAAUAACUGGGGUGAAGUCGUAACAAGGUACC
rnacentral:rRNA from 1 species